rnacentral:rRNA from 1 species
UCAUAGAAAUAAAUAAGAAAAUUCUACCAGAGUACUAAGAAUAAAAAAUUUAAAACUCAAAGGGCUUGGCGGUGUUUUAGACUACUUAGGGGAACCUGUCUCAUAAUCGACAAUCCACGAUAAACCUAACCUUUUCUUGCAUUCAGUUUGUAUACCGUCGUCGCCAGGUAACUUUUAAGAUUGGAACAGUUAGCUAGCUAAAUACUUAAAUUAAGACGUCAGAUCAAGGUGCAGCUAAUGAUAAGGUGUAGAUGGGUUACAAUUAUUACAUUUAUAAAAACGGACCAGCAGCCUUAAAGGCAAUUGGAAAGGAGGACUUAAAAGUAAAAUAAACUAUACAAGCAUUUUGAAUAAAGCUCUGAAACGUGC